GACGAACCGUCCUAACGUUGUUCGGAAUCACUGGGCUUAAAGGGCGCGUAGGCGGCCUUGUCAGUCGGGGGUGAAAUCCCACGGCCCAACCGUGGAAGUGCCUCCGAUACUGCAAGGCUCGAGGGGGGUAGGGGCAGCGGGAACUUCCGGUGGAGCGGUGAAAUGCGUUGAUAUCGGAAGGAACGCCGGCGGCGAAAGCGCGCUGCUGGACCCUCUCUGACGCUGAGGCGCGAAAGCCAGGGGAGCAAACGGG
rnacentral:rRNA from 1 species